UCAGAGUACUUCUCUUAGGGGAGAACAUGACAGCACAAGGCCCUCUGUGAAGGGGAACUCAGCCAGUGGACUGAAGUCCUCUGAGACGCGUGUCCGGAGAGCCGCCGUGCAGUUGCUUCCUGAGGAGGGCUCAGGCAUGCUGGAAGACAGCACAACAACCACCAAGAGUCCCACCACCACCACCACUACCACUGCAGCAGCAGCAGGCAUCAAUGCUUCUUCCUCUGGUGACAUCAGCAGUAAAAUCAGCCUCUUCACCACCUGUGGCCUCACGCUGCUCUCUGUGAUUGUGAUGCGGCCGUGGUAGGAGCUGGUCACUGGUCAGUCACUGGUCAGCACACUCCAGCCCUCAGUCCUCUCAGCUGCAUGAUGGAAGGAACCGGAACAAGAGAAACAGAGAACUGGAAUAUAGGAAUACCUUCAAAGACUCAUAUAGCUUACUUUUAUUUCUGGUAGUUUAUCUCACUAUCAGUAUGUUUCAAAGUGAAUUUGCUAUGUGUUGUCGAUAUUGCUAUACAUUUGUUGACCCAUCAUAUUACUGUGAACCUAAACUUGUGCAACAGCAUCAAAUGGUGUGUAUUUAAAUGUUCUCAACAGUAUUGUCAAUGUAUUUGUUUAUCUAAGCAGUUAUCUGGUUGAAGAUGAUGCAAUUUUCAUUGUAAUUAAUGUCAAAAACAUUACUGUGAAAUGGCGGCUAAUGUACAUAUGUGUAUUGCACCUAUUUAUUUGUUUAUUUAUUUCCCUUAAAAAACAAUUAAUGUAUUAUUUAUUUAGUAUGUUUAUUAUGGAAAUGUUUAUGCAUUACAUUCAUAUUUUUUGUACAAUGUUCCUAUAUUUAUUUGUAUUUAUUUAUGGACAAAAAUAAAGUAAACUUGUAUUGAAAA